GCGUCAUGAUUUACCUUUUAAUGGCGGGCGUGACUGCCUGUCAACAAAGGUCAAAUUAGACAAAUAAACAACAAAGUCAGUGAAAAAAGAAUCAGCCUGUUACUUAAGUUUACACGUUUUUCUUUUUCUACAGAAGCCCAAGUGGACAAAGCAGCAGGAGGACGAUUUCACACUUUGAAGCAAAAGCCUUGUAUGCAAACAAAGAAGAAUAACGUUCUUUCCAGUAUUUGACAGCCACCGUAGAUCUCUGACACGCUUAGGAAAGGUGAGAGUCAGAAAGAUCUCCUCCAGAUGACCUGCAAAGUUCUCCAUCUCAGCAACUUUUCCUUGCAAAAGAUUCCUGGUUUUGUCGAUUUCUCUCUGGAAAACAUUUUGAAAUCAGACGUUUACAGUCAAAUUUAUAUUAGAAAAGUAAAUAAUAAUACCUUGAAUUUUCCCAUAGCACAAAAAGUUUUUACACAUACUGUAUAUAUGUAGAAAUAUACUACACAUAAGUAUGUUGAUAUAAUUGCAUGGUGGCUUUAAAAUAAAAAUCAUUUGUUUUUU